AUUGAACGCUGGCGGCAGGCCUAACACAUGCAAGUCGAGCGAGCGGCGGACGGGUGAGUAAUGUCUGGGAAAAUGCCUGAUGGAGGGGGAUAACUACUGGAUACGGUAGCUAAUACCGCAUACCAUCAGAUGUGCCCAGAGGGUAUUAGCUAGUAGGUGGGGUAACGGCUCACCUAGGCGAGGAUCCCUAACUGGUCUGAGAGGAGGACAAGCCAGACUGGAACUGAGACACGGUCCAGCCUCCUACGGGAGGCAGCAGUGGGGAAUAUUGCACAAUGGACGCAAGCCUGACGCAGCCAUGCCGCGUGUGGGAAGAAGGCCUUCGGGUUGUAAAGCACUUUCAGCGGGGAGGCGUUACCCGCAGAAGAAGCACCGGCUAACUACGUGCCAGCAGCCGCGGUAAUUC
rnacentral:rRNA from 1 species